rnacentral:lncRNA from 1 species
AAUUCUUCAUCCUCAUUCUUCAGGUGGACGCCUGAUUUCUUCUUCAAUUCUUCAUCCUCAUUCUCCAGGUGGACGCCUGACUUCUUCUUAAAUUUUUCAUCCUCAUUCUCCAGGUGGAUGCCUGAUUUCUUCUUCAAUUCUUCAUCCUCAUUCUCCAGGUGGACGCCUGACUUCUUCUUAAAUUUUUCAUCCUCAUUCUCCAGGUGGACGCCUGACUUUUUCUUCAAUUUUUCACCGGGUGUUUCUUGACACAAAUGUUGUUUUUGCUCCUGUUUCAAAUCAAAGAAAACUUCGUUAGUUUAAAACAGGGUGGUUAAUUGGGGCAUUCUUGCCGACGGUGGGACUUCUCUUCGUCUUGUUUUAUUGCCUUGUAAUGGUUGAAAAGACUGUUCUGUCUUUGUAAUUGAUCCUUAACUAUAGGAUCCCCAACUGUAUGUUUUCCUUCAAACCUUUUUAACCGUAAUCAUAUGUCUCUCCUGACAUUGCUGAUCCGCUUUUGAUUCCACUUUUCUUACACCCAUAUCUUAUUAUUUUUUAUUACCUCCUGCCCAUCAUGGCCGU